UACGUAGGUGGCAAGCGUUGUCCGGAUUUACUGGGUGUAAAGGGCGUGCAGCCGGGAGUGCAAGUCUGGAGUGAAAUCCCAUGGCUUAACCAUGGAACUGCUUUGGAAACUGUGCAGCUGGAGUGCAGGAGAGGUAAGCGGAAUUCCUAGUGUAGCGGUGAAAUGCGUAGAUAUUAGGAGGAACACCAGUGGCGAAGGCGGCUUACUGGACUGUAACUGACGUUGAGGCUCGAAAGCGUGGGGAGCAAACAGG
rnacentral:rRNA from 1 species